rnacentral:lncRNA from 1 species
GCGGCAGACACCUGCCAAAGCGACCUGGGGACGGCGGGGUCGGAGGUGGGUCUUCACCGCGGGACUCCACCGCGAGCGCAAUUCCGGGUCUUUUCCUCAGGUCUGGGACAGUGACAGCGAGGGGUCGUGUUGGCGGCGCGCGCUGUCGGAGCGUGCUGACACAAAAGAGAACGAGCACUUAUUUAGCGCCCACUGUGUGCCAUCGCUGCUUCUUAAAGCGCCCGGGGCCGGCCUGCUGCGUAUGCAGUCCGUGCAGUCGCACAGGCCCAAGCGCUCAGAAGCGCCUCGCGCUUGUUUUAAUGCCCUGCUGUCCCAGUUUUGAAAUUCUUGGUGAUUUUUGAACAGAGGGCCUUACAUGUGUUUUUUGUACUGGGAUGGGCAAAUCAUGUAGCCUGUCCUGAUGAGCGAUUUUUUCAUUUAACCUUCUCAACAACCCUGUAGGAAAAUAUAAAUAACAGUAAGGCUAGUGUUGGUAACAGCCCUAGCUUCUAGUUAUGAAACACCCACAUGUGUUCUUUCAAGAGCUGUUCUAAGUGCUUUCCAAUUAUGACCUCAGUACUUAAAACAUGAUUAUGAAACGGAUAUUAGAAUAAUCCAUUUUUAAGGUGAGGAAACAGUCACAGGGAAAUGAAAUAAACUGUCCAAGAAUAUGCAGCGGAUCUAUGACAGAAGGACCAUAAGAGGAAAGCACAGAGAAACAAUGUACUUGGGGUUCCUGCUGUGGCCCAGUGGAUAAAGAAUCUGACUGCAGCGGCUCGGGUGGAUGCUGAGCACAAGUUUGAUUCCCAGCCAAAGCAGUGGGUUAAAGGAUGCCACGUUGCAGUGGUUGUGAUGCAAGUCACAAUUUCGGCUCAGAUUCUAUUCUGGCCUGGGAACUUCCAUACGCCAUGGGUACAGCCAUAAGAAAAGCAAGCAAGCAAGCAAUGUACUUUCGUGGAAGAAGAGAAAUAUCUCCUUCCAUGAAUCCCUUUAUAGGAGCAAUCAUUGGAAAAGGGAGCAGUACCAACAUAGAGAAGGAUGUUCAGAUAUGAUGGAGGCUGUGCCAGAAAGAAAGAAGGGAAAAUUACCUUCUAUUGUCAUUCAACAUUGUCUGCUUCACUUCCUACCCUUGGAGUCCUGUUGCUAAGCCAGACUUCUCGACAUAAUGAAACAUUCCUUCAUUCCAUGAAGAAUUUCUGUCUACAGUGUCAACAGCCUACAAUCUGGAGUAUUUUCAAUUAAUUCUUUAACUGAAAAUAAAUUGUAUAAUUUGGUCCUCCUUUACCAGUGUAUUUAAUUGCAGCUUCAGGAUUUAUCUUUUAGAAACCAUUUAAAACGUCCAAAGCAAUUCAGCUUGCAAAAGCCCUUUGUCACAUACAAAUCCACCUGCCCCGUGCAGAGGUAGGAAUCACCAUCUUACAGACAGGGAUCACAAGGGAAAUAAGCCAGUCUUCCGAUGGGUUAAAAAGAUUAAUAGAAAACUUCCCAUGUGGC